AGGUCACCUAUGAAAUAAACGUGGAGGAAUGAAUGGGCUGAACAUGAAAAUUGGAAUAAAAGGAAGUUUGUAUUAAAAGUGUUUAGGGAGGUUAGUCACUAUCGUCAAAUAUAUCCUACCCGUCCAUUAGCCUACAUUACAAACAAAUAAAAACCUCUUGAUCUUGGACUGAACAGCUUGAUUAGUGGAGUAUUACACUAGGGGCAAGCUUAUGGUAUAUCUGUGUGG
rnacentral:lncRNA from 1 species